rnacentral:rRNA from 1 species
UACGUAGGGUGCGAGCGUUAAUCGGAAUUACUGGGCGUAAAGCGUGCGCAGGCGGUUCGCUGUGUCCUGUGUGAAAGCCCCGGGCUUAACCUGGGAAUGGCAUGGGAAACUGUCGGGCUUGAGUAUGGGAGAGGUGAGUGGAAUUUCCGGUGUAGCGGUGAAAUGCGUAGAUAUCGGAAGGAACACCUGUGGCGAAAGCGGCUCACUGGACCAUUACUGACGCUGAUGCACGAAAGCUAGGGGAGCAAACAGG